UCUGUUUAAUUUGCUCGAUGAAGUUACUUUAACUGCUCGAGUAUCGAACAAUAGCGAAUUAGCGAUACACUCUUGUUGCAUUAGCCAUGUGCUCGUGUCACACGGUAACAUUUUUAAGUUGCAAACCACUCCUACUUGCCUGCAUCCCCUGCCCCUUUAUUUCUCCGAGAACCAGGACCAAAUUAAAAGAAGAAAAAGAAGGUGGAAAUGAAACAUAUAUAGGAGUAGGAAAUUAAACAAAAGGUACCCACGGUUGUGUUUCGCAUCUUAGCCUGCCUAAACUGAUGUUCGACCGAUACCGAUGGCUCCUAAAACUACUUUUGCACGA
rnacentral:lncRNA from 1 species